GACGAACGCUGGCGGCGUGCCUAAUACAUGCAAGUCGAACGCAGUGGGGACGGGUGAGUAACACGUGGCUAACCUCCCAUCAGAGGGGAUAACACUUGGAAACAGGUGCUAAACCGAUACUGAUGGAUGGACCCGCGGUGCAUUAGCUAGUUGGUGAGGUAACGGCUCACCAAGGCCACGAUGCAUAGCCGGCCGGAGAGGGUGAGCGGCCACACUGGGACUGAGAAACGGCCCAGACUCCUACGGGAGGCAGCAGUAGGGAAUAUUCGACAAUGGACGAAAGUCUGACCGAGCCACGCCGCGUGAGUGAAGAAGGUUUUAGGAUCGUAAAGCUCUGUUGUUAGAGAAGCGGUAUCUAACCAGAAAGCCACGGCUAACUACGUGCCAGCAGCCGCGGUAAUAC
rnacentral:rRNA from 1 species